rnacentral:rRNA from 1 species
ACCAGUACCGUGAGGGAAAGGCGAAAAGAACCCCUGUGAGGGGAGUGAAAUAGAACCUGAAACCGUGUGCGUACAAGCAGUGGGAGCCUUAAUUUAUUAGGGUGACCGCGUACCUUUUGUAUAAUGGGUCAGCGACUUAUAUUCUGUAGCAAGGUUAACCGUUUAGGGGAGCCGUAGGGAAACCGAGUCUUAAUAGGGCGAUUAGUUGCAGGGUAUAGACCCGAAACCGAGUGAUCUAUCCAUGAGCAGGUUGAAAGUGCCGUAACAGGCACCGGAGGACCGAACCCACUGUCGUUGAAAAGCCAGGGGAUGACUUGUGGAUAGGGGUGAAAGGCUAAUCAAACUCGGUGAUAGCUGGUUCUCCCCGAAAGCUAUUUAGGUAGCGCCUCGGACGAACACCAUUGGGGGUAGAGCACUGUUUCGGCUAGGGGGUCAUACCGACUUACCAAACCGAUGCAAACUCCGAAUACCGAUGAGUGAUAUCCGGGAGACACACAGUGGGUGCUAACGUCCAUUGUGGAGAGGGAAACAACCCAGACCGCCAGCUAAGGCCCCAAAUUCCUAGUUAAGUGGGAAACGAGGUGGGAAGGCAUAGACAGCUAGGAGGUUGGCUUAGAAGCAGCCAUCCUUUAAAGAAAGCGUAAUAGCUCACUGAUCGAGUCGUCCUGCGCGGAAGAUGUAACGGGGCUAAGCCAGUUACCGAAGCUGCGGAUGUGCAAUUUAUUGCACGUGGUAGGAGAGCGUUCUGUAAGCCUGUGAAGGUGGCGGUGUAAACCCUGCUGGAGGUAUCAGAAGUGCGAAUGCUGACAUGAGUAGCGUUAAAGGGGGUGAAAAGCCCCCUCGCCGUAAGCGCAAGGUUUUCUACGCAACGUUCAUCGGCGUAGAGUGAGUCGGCCCCUAAGGCGAGGCAGAGAUGCGUAGCUGAUGGGAAACAGGUCAAUAUUCCUGUACCGAUGUGUAGUGCGAUGUGGGGACGGAGAAGGUUAGCUCAGCCAACUGUUGGAUAUGUUGGUUCAAGCCUGUAGUCGUGCCUGGUAGGUAAAUCCGCCGGGCUUAGAUGAGGGGUGAUAACGAGUCUGCUUGCAGACGAAGUGAGUGAUACCCUGCUUCCAGGAAAAGCCACUAAGCUUCAGCUACACACGACCGUACCGCAAACCGACACUGGUGCGCGAGAUGAGUAUUCUAAGGCGCUUGAGAGAACUCAGGAGAAGGAACUCGGCAAAUUGACACCGUAACUUCGGAAGAAGGUGUGCCUUUAGUAGGUGAAGGGAUUUACUCCUGGAGCCCAAUGAGGUUGCAAAAAAUCGGUGGCUGCGACUGUUUAUUAAAAACACAGCACUCUGCUAAGACGAAAGUCGACGUAUAGGGUGUGACGCCUGCCCGGUGCUGGAAGAUUAAAUGAUGGGGUGCAAGCUCUUGAUUGAAGUCCCAGUAAACGGCGGCCGUAACGAUAACGGUCCUAAGGUAGCG